rnacentral:rRNA from 1 species
ACGAACGCUGGCGGCGUGCCUAAUCCAUGCAAGUAGCACGCUGAAGGAGGAGCUUGCUUCUCUGGAUGAGUUGCGAACGGGUGAGUAACGCGUAGGUAACCUGCCUGGUAGCGGGGGAUAACUAUUGGAAACGAUAGCUAAUACCGCAUAAUAGCAGUUGUUGCAUGACAACUGUUUGAAAGGUGCAAUUGCACCACUACCAGAUGGACCUGCGUUGUAUUAGCUAGUUGGUGGGGUAACGGCUCACCAAGGCGACGAUACAUAGCCGACCUGAGAGGGUGAUCGGCCACACUGGGACUGAGACACGGCCCAGACUCCUACGGGAGGCAGCAGUAGGGAAUCUUCGGCAAUGGACGGAAGUCUGACCGAGCAACGCCGCGUGAGUGAAGAAGGGUUUCGGAUCGUAAAGCUCUGUUGUAAGAGAAGAACGAGUGUGAGAGUGGAAAGUUCACACUGUGACGGUAUCUUACCAGAAAGGGACGGCUAACUACGUG